GGGGCGGAGAGCAAGCGCCCGUCUAAAGGAGCCUGUUUUCUGUUUUAAAACAGCCAGAGGCGACAAUGUUUGCUGCACACGCUUUGCCCCAAACGGUUGCCAGGUGUGGGAUGAGGAGACGGCAGGAGCCGCCGUGUUCGUGGUGACCGUGCUUUCCGUCGCCUCGUGCAGGGCCAGACGCCUGGACCCGAAGUAAAACCCCCAACACAUGGAAGAUGUUAAUGAAGCAUUUUUUAUUCCGGAAAGAAGACCCACCAGACCACUGAGCACCAGCUUUGAAAACAACAUAAGCUUCCUCUGCCCUGGUCCUUAUCUGUGGCCGUUUUUUUCACUCCUCAAACUAUAAAACCACCUCCCAAGCUCCCCUAAGGGGGGCACCGUCUUUGAGGCAUUAGCCUGCGGUGACCCUCCUUUGCCUGGCAAAGCAAUAAAGCUAUUUUCUUCUCUUUUGCCCAACACUCCGUCUCCAUGUCUCUAUUUGGCACUGGUGGGCAGAGGCCGCAUCCUGGCAACAGUCUCUUUCAAGAAAAGGUUCAAAUCUAGAAGUGAAGAGAGCCAUGAAAAAAUUGUUCUCGUACAGUUUUUAAAGGUCAUUUUGAAAACAUGUUUCAUUUUCUGCCUCAGUGCAGACGCGGGCUUUUCUCUACUCAGUAAGAUCUUUGGCUUAGUUUUAUCAUCGCCAGAAAUAGGAUCUGCGUUCAGGAAAAAUGAAGAUCUGCUGACCCCCAGUUUGUUGUGACGGAAUGAACUCAAAUCUUCAACAGGAACGCAAAUAAAAUGAAUGUUAUUAAUGAAAAACGAGCCUAAAGAGAAUACGUAUGUUUUAUUUCAUAUCUGAGCUGAAAAGAUGACACAUAUCAUAUCAGACAUUCAUUAAGAUCCAGAAAUUUAUUUUAUUGAGCUAUAUUUUAAAUUAUCCUCUUGUCCGCUCCUGAGGGAUCUAGUGUAAGAAACUUUUAUUUCUUUUUGUUUCCAUCACUCUGAGAUCUAUCCUGUGUUAAAACACAGUACGUUGCUAAGAGCAACCUGUGGUCUUGACUUGAGCCAUCCCGGCUUUGCUCUCUCAUUGAAGUUGAAUGCAAUUCUACGGCUCAAUAUGAAUCAGAUGGGAUCUAAAAGUAGACCUGAAACUUCUCCAGAUGGUCAUGUGGAGCUCAGUGGGUGUAGUCCAUCGAGUCUCAAGAUUCUUCCGCACGACUUGUAUCUUCUGGAGAAACUACGUAUCAAAAACCUCAUGAAAAAUAAAAUAUUACCUGCCAUAUCAGUAAACAAGAAUGUCAGUGAUUUCAGCCACCUCAGACAGUGAGCAGAGCCGGUGAGCCCUGAGGGAACUCAGAAAGGAGACAAUACCUGCCAUCUAGCAGCCAUCAGACUCUAGCCACUCCGGAGGGUGAGCCCUGAGGAAAACUCAGGACGCAAGAACACAGGAUACUGGCCCUAGACAGCUGAGGUGCCUAUCAAAGGAACAAUUGCAGGGAGCCCAGCCUUUGCAUCUUCCUACACUAGAAAAGCUCUAAAAUCCUUGAGCUACCUGCCUUCUUUGAAUAGCAGUAAUCUUUUGCUCUUACUACUUGCCCUUGGUUGCAAAAUUCCUAUACAUCCUAGCUCCCCACUCAUUCAUAUGAGCAGGUUUUCUCAGGGUUACUUGAGAUGCUGCCUCUUGGGCUUAAGUCCUCAUCUCUCCCAGAAUAAAACUUAACGCUCAACUUUUAGGUUACACAUGUAUUUUUUUUUUAGUUGACACUCUCAAUGAGCUAUGUAUGUGUUAUUUGUGACAUAAAUUAUAACACAAUAAUAAUAAAUUAUAAGUUAAAUUCGAAGUGAAGAAUAACUGUUCAGUCAAGUUUAUUCAUUUAGAACGUAGCAUAUUUGGCAUUAAGCUAAAAUGCUAUUGAUAAAUAAAUAAAUAUCAUUAAUAUUUUCAUGGGAUAUUUGUUCCAGAAUUCCAGACGGAUGUUUAAUGGACUUAUACACUAAGAUAUGAACUCCUAUAUUGUGAGAAUUAGGAAGGUUCUCUGAUAAUGCAAAUGAGAGGUCUUUUGGCUGAUUUGAGGUCAAGCCUCUAACUAUCACUUAACUAGUUGAUUAACAAACAAUGUGAAUUAUCCCUUGAUUAAUAACGCACUAUGCUAGCUGUACCCCUAAUUCCACUAGUAUUGAUAACAUUGAAUACAUAAAAUAGCCCAGGUAGAUGUGAUAAAGGAUUGACUGAAGGAAAUCCAAUCCUUGCAUUCAUCUUUAUAAUUGCAAAUUUAUACUUAAAUGGGAAGAAUAACAGAGCACUUUAGACCAGAACCACAAUGAUGUCAACAUCGCAUCCUUAUAAAAUUGUCUUUGCUGAAUCUUCAUUUCUUGUUAUGCAGGACACUAUAUGAAACAACAAGAAAAGUCAAUUGUUUUUAUUACAGAAAAUGCCGUAAGUUAUGACAAUGGGCUGUAUUGGUUAGGUCUUAUGAAAAAUAAAUUCUCCCAACUCAGCAUCAUAUGCAGGACACUAUAUGAAACAACAAGAAAAGUCAAUUGUUUUUAUUACAGAAAAUGCCGUAAGUUAUGACAAUGGGCUGUAUUGGUUAGGUCUUAUGAAAAAUAAAUUCUCCCAACUCAGCAUCAGAAACAUUGAGCCUUUCCAGAACAAGUUGUUUUGAUCAAGCUUUUAUAAAACUAAUAAUUCAGAAGUCUCUCCUUUUUUGUAGACAAAAUGGUUGAAGGAAAAUUUGAAUUCACAUUGUAGCAAUUUUUAAGAAGCAUAACAUGAAUUUCUGUUUCUGUAAUCAGACAAUAUUUCCUUUUUCAUAUUUUACUUGGCCUGAUUUUCACUAAUUAUAUAUAUAUUUUUCUUCUUACUUGUAUUUUUCUGCAACCUAUGUCAAUUUAACAGUUAAGUGAGUGGCAAGGUAAAUAAAUAAACAAUAGUAAAGUAAAAAACAGAUUUGAAUUGGCGCUAAGAUGAUAUGGAGAAUUUCCUAAAUAGUUUGAUUGAAGAGAGACAAUGAUUUUAACUAGAUCAAUCCUCCUUAAAAAAAAAAAAAAAGAAUAGUCUGGGACAGAAUAAUCAAAGUCUUAAACAUGACCAAAAUUCAUCUUGAAAAUGACCAGGGUCUUUUGGUUAUAACCUUUGAAAAAUUUUAAAGAAUUGUAUAACUAUGAUAUUGGAAAUAUGAAAGAAAAGUUCUGAUAUUUUCAUUCAUAAUGCAUGCAAUAUAUUUUUUUCACUUUGUAAUUAUGAGCAUGUAUCCCCACACAAUAAAAAUUGCAUCGA
rnacentral:lncRNA from 1 species